UGGUAAAAAUAGGAAUUAAACCCAUCUAAAUAGUUCUACAGACUACCACCUAUACACUCGGCCAUUUUACC
rnacentral:tRNA from 1 species